GUAUAUACACCUGGGGUUAGAAUCGCGUGUCUCAGCGUUUUGUUCAACACAAACCGGUGGAAUCGUUUAGAUACAGGACCAUUUUGCCGCACACACAGUCUACGGGGUAUGUAAAAAUCAAAUGCUAGAGUAUAAACUUGUUGGAGGGCUUGCUGAACGAGGAAGGCAAAGCAUGCUUUAACUCGUGGGAAACAAUGAAGCCCAGUGGACGAUUCCCUUUCGAGAUUAUUACGAGAUAACUCGAUCUGUGCUGUAAAAUACUGAUCAGAAUUGCACAAUCACGUACGGAAAAUAUAUUGCGGAAGUGGCCCAACGGGAAGAGUAGGAUGAUGUUGGUGUGAAAAAAUUACCGACUCACGAGAAUUUUCAAAUUAAAAAGGGAUUCAAGGGCCGCAGAAGAAUAUGGCACGUGACGAGGGUAAAAUAAUACGAAGGUGGACGAUUUACAGUGAAUUUCAAGGCCCUUAUACAUUUACGAGAUGUUACAUAUGAAGGUCUGCGUGCCAGUGGCUUUGCGUGUUUGUCCACACGACAGGUUGUACAUACACGCGUCACGGCAAUGUGAGAGAGGGGGAUAUUACCGGGUGAGGAAUGUGCGUGUAACGUAGAAAUCACGACUUCAACGAGGUCUGUUGCCAUGCCGAUAAGAAAUUGUAAUUAUUGAGAGAUGUGAAAAAAAAAAUUUCUUAAUUUUCACCGAGACGAAUGGCAAGAAUUAUAAUUUCGUGGCCGAAAUCUUUCGAGAUUUUUUUCUUCAUCUAGAGUAAUAUCAAUGUAAUUAAUUUACAGUAAUUUUGUAAUUAUUAUUUCCACCAGAUUCACUCCAAUUAAUUGAAAAAAAAAAAUAUCAAAGAACAAUUGGAAAUUUUAACUGAAUUUUCAGGGAAAUUCAGGGUAAUAUAUUUUUGAACUAUGAUUUUUCUGGUACUGAAACAAAUUUCCAAUCGCACGUGACAUUUUUAAAU